rnacentral:sRNA from 1 species
CCAACCACACCCAACCGCGGAGCACCCGGGACCCGGCACGCUCCGCACCUAACCCAGCGCCUCCGCAGGCUCCCCAGAGCGCUACAUGCCAAGAAGGCUUCAGAUGGAGUUAGCCAAAGGGAAGCCACUGACUUUCCAGCGCUGGGAAGUGGAUUUCAGUCCGCUCUCCCACGACCACGGAGUGGUUACUCGCAGAAAGAAGUACGAGUUGUCUUGGAUGCGCAGAGCCACGUGGGUACGGUCAUCUAGAAGAAGGAAUUCUGAGUCCUUGGCUCUAGAAACGUCAAGAUUGGCAGUCUGCAGACAACGUUCUCCAAAAAACCAACUUGGAUUUUUAUCUAUUUACACUGUUAACCACUGUUACCCUGGACAAGAAAGGAAGAGAAAGUGUCUACUUUUCUUGACUCUGCGGGAUUUUUUUUCCCCCACAAUUAUAAUUCGGAAAGCCAAUAAAGGAAGCAUAUUAGAAGUUAGGUCUGUGUGUUUGAUUAACUGCAGACUGCCGUAUUGAUACUUAAAAAUGUUGUGCGGAGACAAAGCUGAAUUCUUGACUGGCAUUUGUUGCUGUAUUUCCCUUUAAAUGGCUCUCGGGAGCCACCGACAUGCUUUCAAGGAUUGCUAAGGCAAGAAGGUUUGAGUAAAGUCAGCUGGCAAGCAACAGGGAAAUAAAGCUUGAGACUGCCACAGCUGCCAAAAGGCCCAGGCCCUGUAGUUUAAAAAAAAAAAAAAAAAAAAAUUUUUCUCCACGGUGCGGUUGAGUGCACCUGGAGCUGUUCCAUCGAGCUUCCACUGUGACUCAAUGUUGGAUUCCACACCCACUUAACUGUCCUGCUUACUGCUAGGUCACGAGGGCUCAUGAUCAAUAGGCAGAGAUAAUCAAUCAUUUCACAAAUGUGCUGUCCACCGUAGGGGCAGAACACCACCCUUAACAGUUUUCUCUUGGAGCUCACAGCGCCCCCCACCCCCGAAGAAGUGCUUAAUGAUUAAAUGAGCUAAAACCUAUUUCAUUACAAUUAUGAUGUAGACCAAAAGAACUGUAAGAAGGUAGGGACAUUUUGAGGGAGUCCAAGAAAAGUACUUGGUUUGUUUUUCUAUUACUAUGGUAAAACACCAUGUCCAAAAGCAGCUGAAGAAGAGAGGGUUGAUUUGCCUUACAGUUCAUCAUCAAGGGAAACUGAGGCAGGAGCUGACACAGAUACAAUGGAGGACCCUGCUUACUGGCUUAGCCUGCUUCCUUGUGCCACUCCAGGUGCGAUGGGUCCUCUCACAUCAGAUGUAAGACAGACAGACAAGCAAACCUGCAGACCUGCGUACAAUCUGAUGAAGGCAUUUCUCAGUUGAGUUUCCUCUUCCCAGAUGAACCUGUUUGUGUCAAGUUGACAAAAAUUUAAAAAAAAAACCAUCCAGGACAUGGAGUUUCUAACUGCUUCUGGCUAGAAGGGGGAAGUUAUAGAAAUCAGCAGGGUUUGGAUUUUAUUCAAGGAGACAUUUGAAGUAGAAA